rnacentral:tRNA from 1 species
AGGUCUUUACUGGGUUACAGAAGUUUUGAAAACUUCUUAGAAGUGUUCGAUUCACUUAUAGACUUA